CCCCGCCUGGCCAAUGGCGCACCUCUCCCCGGCUCACAUGACGGCUUUCUGUGCGCUCCCUCUCCUCUCAGCGCUCAAUCCCGGCGAGUCCAGGCAUCACUGAAGACCUGAAACCGGCGGAAUCGGACGUCCAGCCACCUCGCAAGAAUUUAACCGGGCGUGAUCUUAUGAAAACUUUUCCUCCCCCUGAUGAACUUCGCCACCGCUGCCGACGAGAAUGACGCUUCGCGGCCCGGACGGACGGACUUUUCCGUCUCCAAACGACCCCGGAGAGGCGCAGGGGCGAGACGAUAACGCCCAGAAGUUACUGAAAUGAAUCGUCCUGAGCGGGGCUAGAAAGAGACAGAGAGAGAGAGAGAGAUGAGGUGUAAGAAAGACAGAAAAGGAGCCUCACUGCAGAGGGGAAGGAGCGGAAGCAGAAAACCCCAGAGCAGAACGAAACAACGAUGAGACAAGAGCGAUGAAAGAGAGGUCCAGACAUGAAGGAGACACACACAACGUGUGCACAUAACACAUACACACACAACGGCACCGAGAGUCUGUCUGCGGUCUACCGCCACCCUGCCACACACACACACACACCUCUUAUGGGCACAAGGCAAAGAAAGCGACGCCAUUCCAGCUGUGAGAAGACAGAAGAAGCCAACACACACACACACACACACACACACUCAAACACAAACACAUAUACACACCCAGGACCGGAGGCGCGUGAGCAGGUGAGCAUUAAGUCAGGCAGCUAAACAGAUCACGUCGUCGUAUGAUAUCUGCAGACAGGCAGGCUGAGGGGGCCGGCCUGUACCUGCAGGCAGGGAGCAGCACACUCAACAGCACACUCACCAGGAAUUUCCUCCGUCUCCUGAGAUACAGAGAGACGGAGAAGCAAAGGUGGACACAGGGAGUUGAAACUCUUAGAAUGUCUGAACAGAAACUGGCUUUCAAAAAAUAAUAAUAAUAAAAAUAAACAAAAAAACAAGUUAACAUGCUGUCCCUAAAAAUGGUUCAGUAGCUUGUUAGGACUACUAACUCCAAUCCAGAAUUUGUAAAAUCGAGCACAAACAGCAGUGGGCACGGCCAUGUGUCAACCAACUUGUUGGCAGCAAAAAAAAAAAAGAAAAAGAAAAAACACAGGUGGGUGUGGCCUGUGAGGAAGUGGGCGUGGCUAUCGUGUGAGAAUCUUAAUUUCAGUUUUAUUUUAUUUAUAUAGCCCAGAAUCACAAAUUACAAAUUUGUCCCAAAGGGCUUUACAGGAAAUACAACACAAGUUCAUAUGUUGUGCCUUGCAUCAACAUUUUGUGGUGUUACGGUGAUCUGUUGAAGUUCUGCGACCGUUCGUGUUUUGCCCCGCCCCCUUUUCACUGACUGGCCUGAAUAGUUCAUCAGGUCUUCUGCGGUCCAGGACAUAUCUGGUUAAUGGUUUGUGAUGGCAUGUUCAUCCUUUCAUCAGUUAUGAAUACUGUGGUGAUAUUUCAAGCCCACGAGCACACCCCCUUUUGGCCAAGGUGUCUCCUUUGACCUAUGACCAGCCUUCCUUCAUUGAUGUGUGAUGUGUUCAGACUUGUGUGAAGCAGAUUUUGUUGGU